AUCUUCGUAAGUUUUUCCUACUCCGACCUAGGUACCCAUCUAUACUUGCCAUCAUUAUAGUUCAGUAUGGCACAUGGGAAUGUUCAAAGCUUGGGAAAUCCAGAGAAAGAUUUAGGUUACCUGGUAUCCAGAGGAUGGGGAACAGAUCCAGGAUCGAUAGUUAUCGUAUCGAAAUCGUAUCCAGAGACUCGGGUCAACUCGAGACAAUACGAUGUAGAUGAGAUUAUCAGUUCCAAUAUCACUACGUACGUGUAGAGUAACUUACUUGGUCGUUAAUUGACAGUAGCCAAUUAGUCAGAAGAGGGGACUUGUGUUCGCAUUCGCUCCCUCAAUACCAAAUCUCAGCCAAAUGUUAUGUAUAUACUUCUAUGGAAUCAUAGUUUGCGCCGUCUAUCCUCUAAGCAUGCAAGAUGCGCCGAACCUGGAUACAUGCUAAACUGAUUCACAUACACAAGAUUGAGUUCCGUUGUAGCGUAGGUAUACUACGUAGGAUAUAUAUCUAGUUCAUGCCGUCGUCCCAAUUAAGAAAUCGAGACCCCCAUGCCCUACGCCAGCAUGUGCUCUACCUAAGUUUUUUUCUUCCCCUCCAAUUUUUGAAACAGCCCACCGGUUCUCAAUGUGGUUCCCGCGGAUGUAUAUUGCUUGCUUCCAGGACCGAACGCCUUGCAUGCAUCUCAAAGUCAACCACUGGGCUAGACAUGGGUUGUGCGUUAUGGUUCAUCGGGUGUAUGGAGAGGUAUCCAGGAUUACGGGAUUGUGAUCGUCGGCGUAAGUUUUGUUUGCUCGCAUGUACUUUCGAGGUUGUGUGGUCUUUUUUGUUUGUGGGGGUUGUGUUACCUCGUUUCAAUGUUGCUCGACAUACUACAUAUGUAUAUAUAUCUAGUGGAUAUGAGGCAUAUGCGCACAUUCUCGGCUAACUGCUGAUACACACACACAAAAUCUAAUGAUUCCACAAUUCCUCGCCUACUCUCUCCGUGGCGAGAAAAUGAAACCUUCAAGAUAUAGUUUGAUCAACUUGAUCACCACUGACGAAAAAACCAACAGUGCGUGUGAACUUACACAUGCCCGUGUCGCUACUCCGUACUCUCUUAAGGACCGGAUUGUUUCUUUUUGGGGGUGGACAGCCCGGAUGCUCAUCCGUGCUCCCGACUGCGGGUCUGUUGCAGUCAAGACUCUCAAGAUUCGAGGGUUACCAUAACUUAUCAAGAGCAUGGGUCUUGUUGGAGCUAGGGAGUCCUUGGAAGGUGAAAGUUUAUCGGAGUGGACUAUGUCUGUCCUUGGAGAAUGGUGCAGUAGAACACGAAUAUAGUGCUUCAGCAUGUACUCCGUAGCUAUUAUGUGUCCUACGUGCCGAACAAGCGGAUUGUCCAAUGUGAUAUACGGUUCUCAUGCAAGGACUUGCGAACGUGGGAGAAACGCCUCUGUGGAGUUCACCAUAAACUGGCCUGCCUGAAAGUCGAGCCCACAGCCCAGCCCCCCUUAGCCCUAAACCUGCCUAGCAAACGCUCAGACACCAACACUAACUCUCGAUGAUUUCCUACACAUUCUACACAUCCGACUAAGGUCAUGGUCUUGCUCACGAGAAAAUAUGACAGCUCUUAAUUGACUAGCUCAACGGAGCCCCCAGUGCUCUGAGUUUGAUCUGGCUGGCUUACUGGACAGCUGGGCGGUUCGUUCUAACUUCUAAGGGAUCUCUCUCCGAUCAACGACUAGAACUACUCCGUCGUUAUAUGGAUGGAAAUUUCGAGGAGAUGCGCCCUUCUAUCCACAUCCCAGCCAUAUGGUUCUGUACCCUGCUCGCUACCCCCUGCUAAAAUUGCCACGAUUCACUACUAGAGUCUAAGUUGCAGCAUUGCUCAGCAGCACUGCAAAGCACCGAUCUUGAGUGCAGUUCGAGAUGUGAAUCCAUUCAUUAUUUAUCCCCGUAAUUCGAAUUCCGAGUUGUGCGUCCCAUGGAUCGAUCGUAUUUCCAUGACUCGGUGGUUAGCUAACUAAGGCUCUUGGUCCAAAGAGCUAUUUCAGUAGCCUUGCUUGUUAUCUGUGUAACAAAUACUACUAACGACGAUAUCUACUUCCUAAAGGUGUAUCUGACAGUAGCAGAUCAAACAACGAAAUGUACGUACUUGGUCUAUGUCGUACGGCACUAUAUGGCA
rnacentral:lncRNA from 1 species